GAUGAACGCUAGCGGCAGGCUUAAUACAUGCAAGUCGAGGGACAGCACAGGUAGCAAUACUGGGUGGUAACCGGCAAACGGGUGCGGAACACGUACACAACCUACCUUUAAGUGGGGGAUAGCCCAGAGAAAUUUGGAUUAAUACCCCGUAAUAUAGUUGAAUGGCAUCAUUUGAUUAUUAUAGCUACGGCGCUUAAUGAUGGGUGUGCGGCUGAUUAGAUAGUUGGCGGGGUAACGGCCCACCAAGUCUACGAUCAGUAGCUGAUGUGAGAGCAUGAUCAGCCACACGGGCACUGAGACACGGGCCCGACUCCUACGGGAGGCAGCAGUAAGGAAUAUUGGUCAAUGGACGCAAGUCUGAACCAGCCAUGCCGCGUGAAGGAUUAAGGUCCUCUGGGUUGUAAACUUCUUUUAUUUGGGACGAAAAAGGGCCUUUCUAGGUCAACUGACGGUACCAGAUGAAUAAGCACCGGCUAACUCCGUGCCAGCAGCCGCCGUAACAC
rnacentral:rRNA from 1 species